AGAGUUUGAUCCUGGCUCAGGAUGAACGCUAGCUACAGGCUUAACACAUGCAAGUCGAGGGGCAGCAUGGUCUUAGCUUGCUAAGACUGAUGGCGACCGGCGCACGGGUGAGUAACGCGUAUCCAACCUUCCCCUUAGUAGGGCAUAGCCCGUAGAAAUGCGGAUUAAUACCCUAUGUUGUAUAUUGAGGACAUCUGAUUUAUACCAAAGGUUCACCGCUAAGGGAUGGGGAUGCGUCUGAUUAGGUAGUCGGCGGGGUAACGGCCCACCGAGCCUACGAUCAGUAGGGGUUCUGAGAGGAAGGUCCCCCACAUUGGAACUGAGCCAUGAUCAAACUC
rnacentral:rRNA from 1 species